UGGGGAAUAUUGGACAAUGGGCGCAAGCCUGAUCCAGCCAUGCCGCGUGAGUGAUGAAGGCCUUAGGGUUGUAAAGCUCUUUCGCCGGUGAAGAUAAUGACGGUAACCGGAGAAGAAGCCCCGGCUAACUUCGUGCCAGCAGCCGCGGUAAUACGAAGGGGGCUAGCGUUGCUCGGAAUCACUGGGCGUAAAGCGCACGUAGGCGGAUCGUUAAGUCAGGGGUGAAAUCCUGGAGCUCAACUCCAGAACUGCCCUUGAUACUGGCGAUCUCGAGUUCGAGAGAGGUUGGUGGAACUCCGAGUGUAGAGGUGAAAUUCGUAGAUAUUCGGAAGAACACCAGUGGCGAAGGCGGCCAACUGGCUCGAUACUGACGCUGAGGUGCGAAAGCGUGGGGAGCAAAACAGGAUUAGAUACCCUGGUAGUCCACGCCGUAAACGAUGGAUGCUAGCCGUUGGGGGGUUUACCUCUCAGUGGCGCAGCUAACGCCUUAAGCAUCCCGCCUGGGGAGUACGGUCGCAAGAUUAAAAACUUAAAUGAAUUG
rnacentral:rRNA from 1 species